UGCAGUUACAGAGGAAAGUGUGACAAAUGCUGUUGCUCUUGUUGAUUGUCUCUCUCUCCUUCCUUCCUUCCUUCCUUCCUUCCUUCCUUCCUUCCUUCCUUCCUUCCUUCCUUCCUUCCUUCCUUCCUUCCUUCCUUCCUCCCUCCCUCCCUCUUUCUCUCUCUUUCUUUCUUCCUUACUUUCUCUUUCUCUCUUUCUUUCUCUCUAUCUUUGUCCUUCUGCCUUUUUUCUUUCUCUCUCUUUAUUUUUCUCUCUUUCUCUUCCUUUCUUCUUUUCUCUUUCUUCCUUUCUUUCUUCCUUCCUUCCUUCCUUCCUUCCUUCCUUCCUUCCUUCCUUCCUUCCUUCCUUCCUUCCUUCCUUCCUUCCUUCCUUUCUUUCUUUCUUUCUUUCUUUCUUUCUUUCUUUCUUUCUUUCUUUCUUUCUUUCUUUCUUUCUUUCUUUCUUUCUUUCUUACGGUCUUUCUUUCCUUCUUUCUUUCCUUCUUUCUUACUGGCA
rnacentral:lncRNA from 1 species